rnacentral:piRNA from 1 species
ACGCCUAACAGGAUAUAACUAUC